CCAAGGCGUCUAACAUGUGUGCGAGUCGUAGGUCUGCAAAAUGCAGCUAAACCCGAGAACGGCGUAAUUAAAGUGAAGGCUCUUUCAUCCUUCCCGGCCUUUUUGCACGCUCGGGCCUCUCCGUUUACGGACUGUUGCUCGGGAGGUGUCUGAACGGUCGGGUUAGCGUUGGGAGCUCAGGCGGGAUCCUUUCCCGAUUUUCUCGACGGCCCAUUCGUGGGCGCGGUCGCAGAAGAGAGGAGAUUAACUGGGUAACUGGCAACGAAACACACACAAAAAAAGGGAUUCGGCGGACGUUCCCCCUCCCCAAUUCAAGGGCCUUCCUAUGUUUUCAGCUUUUCCCGAUUUUGGGUAGGCGAAUCGAAAGGARUAAGCGGCCUGGGGGUGCAAAAAAUGGUAGAACGGUUAAACGCGUCCGAAAAGCCUUAACAAAUCCGACCUCCCAGAGGCGCACCGCUGGCCCGUUUCAACCGCCCUCGGUUAAUUUCGCCGCCCGCGCUACAAAGGUUUUGCCUCGCGCGCCGCGCUUCUUUUCGUCCUCGGAUUCCGUCCGUAUUCGUUUCGUAACAGAUUCGAUGCGUCCGCGUCUGUCGAGCGUCGAGAGAGUGCGUGCUUCGCGGGUGUGUGCCCAGUGGGUUUUUGAAAGGCGGUCCGAAAGUCGGUGAGGCGGAGCAAGAGCACACACGUUGGGACCCGAAAGAUGGUGAACUAUGCCCGGGCAGGACGAAGCCAGAGGAAACUCUGGUGGAGGUCCGCAGCGAUUCUGACGUGCAAAUCGAUCGUCGGACCUGGGUAUAGGGGGGAAAGACUAAUCGAACCAUCUA
rnacentral:rRNA from 1 species